GUCUACGGCCAUGCUGCCCUGAACAAGCCCUCCCGUCUGAUCUCAGAAACUAAGAAGGAUUAGGCCUGGUUAGUACUUGGAUGGGAGACCACCUAGGAAGACCUGUAGGUGUAAAAA
rnacentral:rRNA from 1 species